GUGUCAGCAGCCGCGGUAAUACGUAGGGGGCAAGCGUUGUCCGGAAUUAUUGGGCGUAAAGCGCGCGCAGGCGGUCCUUUAAGUCUGAUGUGAAAGCCCACGGCUCAACCGUGGAGGGUCAUUGGAAACUGGGGGACUUGAGUGCAGAAGAGGAAAGUGGAAUUCCACGUGUAGCGGUGAAAUGCGUAGAGAUGUGGAGGAACACCAGUGGCGAAGGCGACUUUCUGGUCUGUAACUGACGCUGAGGCGCGAAAGCGUGGGGAGCAAACAGGAUUAGAAACCCCCGUAGUCC
rnacentral:rRNA from 1 species